UGUGCAAGGAGGCAAUGUAUGAUCAGAAGUGGCAUGUGAGCCGGCGCAUCAGAUGCUUUCCUGUUCCGUGAUGUGAAAGCCCCGAGACGAAAAGGAACAAAAAAUAAAAACAGAAAAGCAAGAAAAAAGACUGGAAAUAUUCACUGGACCAAGGUUUUAUAGACUUACCAGCAAAGAGAAAGAAGAUGUUUACCCCUUAUGGCUCUUCUGGGGUGUUUUCAAAAAGCAGCCAGGAAGGGAUGUUCUUGUGUACCACACAUCACUAGGAUACUGACAGCAUUUUCCUGACAGGCUUCAAAAGCAGGAUCCAGAGCCACAUGUUCAGCACUCGUACGGAAAGUGGAGCAUGUCCAAUCCCACUGUGCUCGGGAGCCAUGGGCAGAAUUCUGGCUGCCUGUACAAGCAGAACAGUGAACGCUGUGACCAGGAAUCAACUGGAGGGCAAGCAGCAGCACCUGCCACCUUCCAUUGCUGCACACGUUUAAGUGGAAAUACUCGCCCCUCCUGCCAUGGUUCACUGUAUGUGCCAUGCUUUAAAUCAGCUGAAGGAAGAUUGCUGUCCCUGAGAAGCAUGGUUGCCUUUCUGGGCCCUGUGGCACAAUGAAAUCUCAGGCCUGGAGGCCUCAUGCUCAUUGCAACUGAUAAAUAAAGCACCUUCACAGAGCAGCGAGAUGAGCUGCAAAAGACAGCAGCAGCACAUGCUCCCACGCUGGCCUCAUGCUGGCAGUAAAGUCCUUCUGCUUUACAGUUGGCUGUGGUAAGUGGAAGCCUUCAAAAGUAGCAAAGUGCAUCCCCACAGCCAAGAUGUGGUCACACCAGCAGAGGUCCAGCAUGGGGUGUGUUGAUUCAUGACCUUCCUUUGCAUACUCAGGAGAAAACUCACAUUUGGACAGGUAUAGUUAACACUGAUUUCUGUCUCCUUCAUCUUCUUAUGACCUGGGAUCAGAUCAGGGAUUUUAGUAAGCAGGAGUAAUCAUGGUAUAUUUUAAUAUCCCUUAAGUAAUUCUCCCUCACUAAAAAAAAUAGAAGAGCAGUUUUCACUUCUUUUGUAGAAGAGUAAUGCUAAAAGGUGCAGAAAAUAAAAUGCUGUUUUAGAUUUACUUUGAAUUAUAUGAAGUAAUGAACAAGAUAAAAAGGAAUUAUGGCUGGUAUCUGGAUAAAAGCUAACAACAAUCUACAUAUUUAUGGAUUACACAGUUUAAACAAAUAGACAUGAAUAAAUCCUGAAAUACAUAUGAGAAUAAAAUAUUAUUCACAUGUGCACAUGCAAAAAGUGAAACAAGGAAAGGGACUGACAAGUUUUAGAGAUCCAAGGGCAGCUGGAAAUAUUUAAUUUAAUUUUCCUCCAGCUUUGCAUUUUGCCAAUUUGUAAGUUAUGUUAUCUCCAGUUUAAGAGAAAUAAAAAUCUUUCAUUUAAAUUCCUACCAUAGGUCACCAAGAUUUGUAUUCAGUCAUCACAUUUGAACUCCUCACAAGACCAUACUAGAACAAAAUAAGUUAAACAUACUUUUCCUUCUAUGUAGACUUUUCAGAAAGUCUUUUUGUAAUUCUCUAAUUACAAAAAGCAUCUGUUUGGAGAGAAAACUGAGAAUUAAAAUCAGAAUACCUGGAUUGGAAAAGGAGAAUAUCACUGACUGACCACAUGCUCCAAAAAAAUUACUAAUAAAUCAAUUGGUUUUUCAGUUGACUGUGGUGUGCAGUCAUUGUUCAUAGUAUCAAUAUUCCCUCAACUGAAGAGAGAUCUGCAGCCAACUGACACCUAACUCUGGAGACAAGUAUUUUUUCUCUUCAGCCAGUUUUCCUUUGCAAUAAUUAACAACUGUUAUUGCAGUAAAUCCCUUUGGAAUUCAAAAUGUUCAUCAAUCAAAGAAGACCAAAACACUGGAUAAAGAAAAGACUUGACUUCUUGGACCUCUAGCUUUCAUUUUCCCCUCUUAUUUGUUCCAUGUGAAAACAAAGAGGUCUCAGUAUAAUUAUGAGAAACGUGAAACUCCCGUUUGUGGAAGAAUAAAAUCAUGAUCUCAAGAUAACUAAGCAAGCACAUCAGCUACAGUCAGUUUAUUUGUGUGUGAAUCAUGAGCCUGAUGAAUGCAAACUGUUGACUCAAAGUGUUCCCUGAGGAGUUCAGAGGUCUUGAUCACACAAAUUAAUAGCAAGUGGGCCACUUACUAUAUUGGUUAUAUGUUGUGCAGAAUUUUCAAAACUGGGAAAGGAAAGACCUUUAACAUCAGGAAAAUAAAAGACAAAUGGACCCAGAUGAAAAAAGUAUUUCUCAAAAACUUUUUCCCCUACAUUUUUACAAUGUAUUCGACAUUUAUAGCUUAUUAAGCUAUUUGAAGAAUGACAAAUUAAGAAUAACACAGUAUGGCAGAAGUGGGCCACCACAUAAUUAAAGAUGCAUGACCAGUGGGAACCAUUUGUGUGUAAAAAGUCACUUUAUUUCCAGGGUUCUGGAUAAAGACCAUUUUGAUGAGCAUUUGGUUCAGAAACAGCUUAACUGAUAGACAGCCUGCAUCUGAAGACCGUAGACCCAUUAAUUGAGACAUUACCAGUUGAUUUACUGGCAAGUGAUUUUGUGAAUAUGGAAUAAAACAACAGAGAUUCUAAGGUCUAAGGACCUAAUGGUCCUCGUCACUAUAACCAAGAGCAUUUGCUUAAGCUGUGCAUGAAAAGGUGUCAGUGCCCCAAACUGGACUCAGACCUAACAAGACCUCCCAAGAGGUUGCUCCGAUGGAGAAUCUCAGUCUCUUUUCCUGCAUCAAUUUUCGUCUGCUUGGCACACUAGUACCACCCUGUCGAAUUAUAGCCACCAAAUUUAGCACAGCAAUCCAUAUUUGUUCCCUCUCUUUGGCCCACUCCAUGGAAAGCAAAGAACAAAGUCACAGCCUCUUCACCCCAGAAUAACCUAGCGCAAUAUCUUCCUGCACAUAAGAAAUUGCUGGAUCCAGACCGCAGUGAUAAGAAAUUUUUUUAUUACUGUCAAAAUU